UUAUUGAGCCAUUCAAUAAUUAUUAUUUCCAAGUUAUAACUGACUUAGCAAAGUCAUGUUAUUUAUUAAUCGAAAAACAGAAGCAGUUAUAUUUUAUUAGUGCUACUAGAAGUCGAGAAAUUAUUCCGACUGCAACGCAGAUUAAAUCUACGGAUUUAAUUUAAGUUAUAUUACAGUUUAUCAAGUUAGCAGGCAAGGAAAAAGAUAUCAAGCAAGAUACAGAAAUGCGAUGAUUGAAAAUCGAAGCCAGUAUUUUAUUACAGUUAUAGAAUCACCGAGACAUAGAAUAUACAGAAUCAAUCAAGAAGACAACCAAAUCAAUUAGCAAAAGCAAAAGUUUUUCCAAUCAAUUAAAGUUUACACGCCUUUGCUCCACCAAACUUCCCACCUACUUCAUCGGCUACCCACCACCCUUUGCUCCCCACCAUAUUCGAUUCUUUAAGGUUAUUAUCAGCCCUUUUACUCAUUCCUUAGUUCUUCAACAACCAAAGGAAUGAGAGAUUUCAUUUACUGCUCCCAAACUUCGAACAGCUAUCUCCUCAUUAAAUUCAAUAGCAACAAACAGCCACCAACAACAAGCAAUUACAGGUCAAGCGCGAGAGUAAGAACUACACAAGGAGUUAGAGUACCUUAGCAAAACUUUGCUAUCAGGUUGAGCUGUGAUGGGCGAUGAAGUGUUGUUGCUGAGUAGAGCUUUUGUCGAACUUAAAGUAGGCUCAGAAAGGAUACAUGUCUUCAUACAUGUAUCUCAGUUAUGCUUUCCGCUGUAAACACUGAUUAUUUCAGUUGCACCUUCCGUUGCAAACUCUGAUAAUGUUUUAGCCAAGCCCCUAAAAAUGCCUUUUUCCUUUUAAGGAAUAUAACGCGUAUACAAGUUCUUUGAGUACCC